GAAAAGAAACUAACAAGGAUUCCCCCAGUAACGGCGAGUGAAGCGGGAAGAGCUCAAACUGGAAAUCUCCGUCGCUUGCGAUGGCGAAUUGUAGUCUCGAGAAGCGUUUUCAAGACGGAUGCCUAGUGCCAAAGUUGCUUGGAACGGCACAUCGAAGAGGGUGACAAUCCCGUACGCGGUGCUGAGCACUGUCCACGAUGCGCUUUCCAUGAGUCGGGUUGCUUGGGAAUGCAGCCCAAAAUGGGAGG
rnacentral:rRNA from 1 species